GAUGAACGCUGGCGGCGUGCCUAAUACAUGCAAGUCGAACGCUGGAACUCUAGCUUGCUAGAUUGAAGGAGUGGCGAACGGGUGAGUAAUACAUAAGCAACCUACCCACGAAGACUGGGAUAAUCUCUGGAAACGGGGACUAAUACCGGAUAGGUAAUCGGAAGGCAUCUUCUGAUUAUUAAAGGUUAAAAACACUGGUGGAUGGGCUUAUGGCGCAUUAGUUAGUUGGUGAGGUAACGGCCCACCAAGACGAUGAUGCGUAGCCGGCCUGAGAGGGUGAACGGCCACAUUGGGACUGAGACACGGCCCAGACUCCUACGGGAGGCAGCAGUAGGGAAGUUUCGGCAAUGGGGGAAACCCUGACCGAGCAACGCCGCGUGAGUGAUGACGGCCUUCGGGGUGUAAAGCUCUGUUGUAAGGGAAGAACGGUAGAUAGAGAAUAUCUAAAUGACGGUACCUUACCAGAAAGCCACGGCUAACUACGUG
rnacentral:rRNA from 1 species